GAUGAACGCUGGCGGCGUGCCUAAUACAUGCAAGUCGAGCGAACAGACGAGGAGCUUGCUCCUCUGACGUUAGCGGCGGACGGGUGAGUAACACGUGGAUAACCUACCUAUAAGACUGGGAUAACUUCGGGAAACCGGAGCUAAUACCGGAUAAUAUAUUGAACCGCAUGGUUCAAUAGUGAAAGACGGUUUUGCUGUCACUUAUAGAUGGAUCCGCGCCGCAUUAGCUAGUUGGUAAGGUAACGGCUUACCAAGGCGACGAUGCGUAGCCGACCUGAGAGGGUGAUCGGCCACACUGGCACUGAGACACGGUCCAGACUCCUACGGGAGGCAGCAGUAGGGAAUCUUCCGCAAUGGGCGAAAGCCUGACGGAGCAACGCCGCGUGAGUGAUGAAGGUCUUCGGAUCGUAAAACUCUGUUAUUAGGGAAGAACAAAUGUGUAAGUAACUAUGCACGUCUUGACGGUACCUAAUCAGAAAGCCACGGCUAACUACGUG
rnacentral:rRNA from 1 species